rnacentral:lncRNA from 1 species
UGCUAAAAAUAACCGAGUUAUCUCACCAGAAAAUCAAAGGAAAGUUUACCAUUCAUGUUACAAUUGAAUGAAAUUGAGUAGAAAGAAGUCUGCCAGAAUUGCUAAAAAUCAUGACUUUGGAUUUACUUAUAUUAACUUUCAGUCCCCAAUUAUUGCAAUAGAUAUGUAGUUUAUCAAGACAUUCUUGCAGACCCUUAGGAGUUUCAGAAAGCAAAAUUAGUUCAUCUGCAUACAUCAGAAAAUUUUGUAUUAUUUAGUUUAACUGGAAAGCAAUCUUCAUCAAAUAUAUCGGGAAUAUCAUUAACAAAAAUGUUGUCUAAGAUGGAACUUAAAUUAUCUCCCUGUCUUACUCCUAUAAAAGAUGAAAAAGUGUCAGUUACAUGAUUGGGGUCAAUUUUCACUGACAAUAAAGUUUUAUUUUUUUUAAUAUUUAUGUGUUAUGGUAAAAAAUUAAUCACCGCAUUCAUUUAUUAGAUUUAAUUUUGUUCAACGUAAUCAGUACGAUAUUUUACGUU